ACGUACGCUGGCGGCGUGCCUAAUACAUGCAAGUAGAACGCUGAAGACUUUAGCUUGCUAAAGUUGGAAGAGUUGCGAACGGGUGAGUAACGCGUAGGUAACCUGCCUACUAGCGGGGGAUAACUAUUGGAAACGAUAGCUAAUACCGCAUAACAGCAUUUAACCCAUGUUAGAUGCUUGAAAGGAGCAAUUGCUUCACUAGUAGAUGGACCUGCGUUGUAUUAGCUAGUUGGUGAGGUAACGGCUCACCAAGGCGACGAUACAUAGCCGACCUGAGAGGGUGAUCGGCCACACUGGGACUGAGACACGGCCCAGACUCCUACGGGAGGCAGCAGUAGGGAAUCUUCGGCAAUGGGGGCAACCCUGACCGAGCAACGCCGCGUGAGUGAAGAAGGUUUUCGGAUCGUAAAGCUCUGUUGUAAGAGAAGAACGUGUGUGAGAGUGGAAAGUUCACACAGUGACGGUAACUUACCAGAAAGGGACGGCUAACUACGUGCCAGCAGCCGCGGUAAUACGUAGGUCCCGAGCGUUGUCCGGAUUUAUUGGGCGUAAAGCGAGCGCAGGCGGUUUAAUAAGUCUGAAGUUAAAGGCAGUGGCUUAACCAUUGUUCGCUUUGGAAACUGUUAGACUUGAGUGCAGAAGGGGAGAGUGGAAUUCCAUGUGUAGCGGUGAAAUGCGUAGA
rnacentral:rRNA from 1 species